GGCGACGCCACGCUGCUCAUCCACGAGGGCGUCAAGGCCGAGGAGGAGUUCGAGAAGUCAGGCAAGGUCCCCGACCCGGAGUCCACCGACAACGCCGAGUUCAAGAUCGUGCUCACCAUCAUCCGCGACGGCCUCAAGUCCGACCCCAGCAAGUACCGCAAGAUGAAGGAGAGGCUCGUCGGAGUCUCCGAGGAGACCACCACCGGUGUCAAGAGGCUCUACCAGAUGCAGGAGACCGGCGCCCUCCUCUUCCCCGCCAUCAACGUCAACGACUCCGUC
rnacentral:misc_RNA from 1 species